rnacentral:rRNA from 1 species
GACGAACGCUGGCGGCGUGCUUAACACAUGCAAGUCGAACGAAGUGGCGAACGGGUGAGUAAUGCGUAAUCAACCUGCCCUUCAGAGGGGUACAAUAGUUGGAAACGACUGCGAAUACCGCAUACUGAAGGAGGGGAUUGCGUCUGAUUAGAUAGUUGGAGUGGUAACGGCCCACCAAGGCGAUGAUCGGUAGCCAGUCUGAGCGGAGGGAGCGCCACAUUGGGACUGGGACACGGGCCAGACUCCUACGGGAGGCAGCAGUUGGGGAACUUCCGCAAUGGACGAAAUGUUGGCGGGGCAACGCCGCGUGAGUGAUGACGGCCUUCGGGUUGUAAAGCUCUGUUAAUCGGGACGCGGUACCUGAAUAGAAAGCCACGGCUAACUACGUGCCAGCAGCCGCGGUAAUAC